GAUGAACGCUAGCGGCAGGCUUAAUACAUGCAAGUCGAGGGGCAGCAGGGUGUAGCAAUACAUCGCUGGCGACCGGCAAACGGGUGCGGAACACGUACGCAACCUUCCUUCAAGUGGGGAAUAGCCCAGGGAAACUUGGAUUAAUACCUCGUAACAUUAUGAGAUGGCAUCAUUUUAUAAUUAUAGUUCCGACGCUUGAAGAAGGGCGUGCGCCUGAUUAGGUGGUUGGCGGGGUAACGGCCCACCAAGCCUUCGAUCAGUAACUGGUGGGAAGGCCCGACCAGUCACACGGGCACUGGGACCCGGGCCCAACUCCUACGGGAGGCAGCAGUAAGGAGUAUUGGUCAAUGGACGCAAGUCUGAACCAGCCAUGCCGCGUGGAGGAUGAAGGUCCUCUGGAUUGUAAACUUCUUUUAUCUGGGAAGAAAUCCAUAUUUUCUAAUGUGGUUGACGGUACCAGAUGAAUAAGCACCGGCUAACUCCGUGCCAGCCGCCGCAGUAAAAC
rnacentral:rRNA from 1 species